GGAGGGGUUGAAGCUGAAAACCUCAUUCAUCCUCACUACAGUCCUAUUCAUUGCUGAAAUAGGUGUAGCGUAGAGCUGAGGGGCUCCAGCCAGCUGUGUGGUCUCACGUACCGUUGCUCCCGAUGAACAGUUUCCAAGUUUGAGGUAGAACAAGCUGCAGGCUCCAGCCACACGAAUCAAGUCUCCCU